rnacentral:rRNA from 1 species
UUGAACGCUGGCGGCAUGGCUAAAACAUGCAAGUCGAACGGGCCCGCAAGGGCUAGUGGCGAAAGGGUCAGUAAUACGAUCGAACGUGCCCCGAGGUGGAGGAUAGGCAUGGGAAACUGUGCGUAAGACUCCAUGUGGUCUCCGGACCAAAGAUUUAUCGCCUCGGGAGCGGCGAUCGUCCUAUCAGCUAGUUGGCGGGGUAAUGGCCCACCAAGGCGAAGACGGGUAGCAGGUGUGAGAGCACGACCUGCGACAUCGGGACUGAGACACUGCCCGGACUCCUACGGGAGGCUGCAGUAACGAAUCUUCCGCAAUGGGCGAAAGCCUGACGGAGCAAUGCCGCGUGCGGGAUGAAGCGCCUAUGGCGUGUAAACCGCUGUCAGGGGACGGAACCAAUGAUUGUCCCCAGAGGAAGUGGCGACUAACUCUGU